rnacentral:rRNA from 1 species
AGUGAACGCUGGCGGUAGGCCUAACACAUGCAAGUCGAACGGCAGCACAGUAAGAGCUUGCUCUUACGGGUGGCGAGUGGCGGACGGGUGAGGAAUACAUCGGAAUCUACUUUUUCGUGGGGGAUAACGUAGGGAAACUUACGCUAAUACCGCAUACGACCUACGGGUGAAAGCAGGGGAUCUUCGGACCUUGCGCGAUUGAAUGAGCCGAUGUCGGAUUAGCUAGUUGGCGGGGUAAAGGCCCACCAAGGCGACGAUCCGUAGCUGGUCUGAGAGGAUGAUUCGCCACACUGGAACUUAGACACGGUCCAGACUCCCACGGGAGGCAAGAGUGGGGAAUAUUGGACAAUGGGGGCAAGCCUUAUCCAGCCAUACCGGGGGGGUGAAGAAGGCCUUCGGGUUGUAAAGCCCUUUUGUUGGGAAAGAAAAGCAGCAGGUUAAUACCCCGCUGUUCUGACGGUACCCAAAGAAUAAGCACCGGCUAACUUCGUG